GGUCCUGUAGCUCAGUCGGCGGUUAGAGCGUGGUGCUAAUAACGCCAAGGUCGCGAGUUCGACCCUCGUCGGGACCA
rnacentral:tRNA from 1 species